rnacentral:rRNA from 1 species
GACGAACGCUGGCGGCGUGCCUAAUACAUGCAAGUAGAACGCUGAAGGAGGAGCUUGCUUCUCUGGAUGAGUUGCGAACGGGUGAGUAACGCGUAGGUAACCUGCCUGGUAGCGGGGAUAACUAUUGGAAACGAUAGCUAAUACCGCAUAAGAGUAGAUGUCGCAUGACAUUUGCUUAAAAGGUGCAAUUGCAUCACUACCAGAUGGACCUGCGUUGUAUUAGCUAGUUGGUGAGGUAACGGCUCACCAAGGCAACGAUACAUAGCCGACCUGAGAGGGUGAUCGGCCACACUGGGACUGAGACACGGCCCAGACUCCUACGGGAGGCAGCAGUAGGGAAUCUUCGGCAAUGGACGGAAGUCUGACCGAGCAACGCCGCGUGGGUGAAGAAGGUUUUCGGAUCGUAAAGCUCUGUUGUAAGAGAAGAACGAGUGUGAGAGUGGAAAGUUCACACUGUGACGGUAUCUUACCAGAAAGGGACGGCUAACUACGUG